rnacentral:rRNA from 1 species
UGCCUCAGUAACGGCGAGUGAAGCGGCAAAAGCUCAAAUUUGAAAUCCCCCCGGGGAGUUGUAAUUUGAAGAUUGCGUCUUGGAGGCGACCGUGUCUAUGUUCCUUGGAACAGGACGUCACAGAGGGUGAGAAUCCCGUGCGGCACGGCCCCCGGCUCCUUAUAAGGCGCUCUCGACGAGUCGAGUUGUUUGGGAAUGCAGCUCAAAGUGGGUGGUAAAUUCCAUCUAAAGCUAAAUACAGGCGAGAGACCGAUAGCGAACAAGUACAGUGAUGGAAAGAUGAAAAGCACUUUGAAAAGAGAGUGAAACAGCACGUGAAAUUGUUGAAAGGGAAGGGCAUGCCGUCAGAUUGUCAGUGUGGGUAAGAAGCGGGGUACAAAGACUGUGGAACGUGGCCCUCGGGUGUUAUAGCCGCAGUUCAUGCCCCGUCUCUUUCCGAGGCCUGCUUUGAGGACACCGACGUAAUGACGGUACGCCGCCCGUCUUGAAACACGGACC